rnacentral:rRNA from 1 species
UACUCAGCAGUAAUUAACAUUAAGCAAUAAGUGAAAACUUGACUUAGUUAUAGCGAUCUCACAGGGCCGGUAAAUCUUGUGCCAGCCACCGCGGUUAUACAAGAGGCCCAAACUAACAGUAAUUGGCGUAAAGCGUGGUAAUAUGUUAUCCAACUGACUAAGACCAAAAUACAACUAAGCCGUCAUAAGCUCAAGAUGUUUUUAAAAUCUUCAUAAAUAUGAUCUUAGCACCCACGACCAAUUUCAACCCACGAAAGUUAAGGCACAAACUGGGAUUAGAUACCCCACUAUGCUUGGCCCUAAAUCUAGAUACUUACCUUACACAAGUAUCCGCCUGAGAACUACGAGCACAAACGCUUAAAA